AUUGGGAUAACUGGGUCAAAUGGUGGUUCCGUUCAAAGUUUUCUGAAGAAUAUCAAUACUGCUUUCCAGAGUGGUUGUACCAAUUUGCAGUCCUACCAGCAAU
rnacentral:pre_miRNA from 1 species